GUAUUCGAAUGUAGGUGUCCUUCUUGAACAGGUGGGUAAGGGCCAAAUGUAGGGUGGUGGCAAUGAAAUCAUCUGCUGAGCGGUUGGGACGAUAGGAGAACUGCAGCAGGUCCAAUGAGGGGGGCAGUAGGGUCUUGAUGUGCCUCAUGAUGAGUCUCUCGAAGCACUUCAUGAUUAUGGAUGUGAGCGCAAAGGCACGGUAGUCACUGAGGCAAGACUUCUUCGGCAUGAGGACAAUGGUGGUAUCCCUGAAGCACGUUGGAAUGAUGGCGCUGCUCAAGGAGAUGUUGAGUGCAUCUGGAAGGGAGGCAUCACUGUCAAAGGCGGGUGAUGUCCUGUAGUUGCUGAUUGCCUGAAUGCUCUGCCACAUCUCCCACGUGUCGUGCUAUCCUUGAAGUGGCUGUGGAUUUUCUAGUCGUGUACACACUUUGACUCUCUGAUGGUCUGGCACAGUUUGGCCCUCGCUGUUCUUGAAUUCCUGCGGUAAAUAAAAUGGUCUGCAUCUAACAGUCACAAACUCCACCAGCGAUGAGCAGUAACUAGAAACUAGCAGAGUUUUUGCACAUUUCAGUGUUACUGUAAAUACACAAGCCACCACUGAGAGCCUGACCACACAGAGCUGCAUUUUCAAAUGCAUUCAAACACAUCCAAAUACAAAACAGUUUUUGAAAAGUGGAAUGAUGACGUUUAAAUAAACAGACAUCUUUCAUUUUCAGAAAUGUUCAAGGACAAAGGACAAAAGAAAACCAGCUCGUGCAUCACCGAUAUUGCUAACGCAAGCUUUAGUGAGACAGGAGGCGAUGGAAUGCCUAGUUGGUGGAAAUGUGCUUUUGUUCUAGCUUUUUUCUACAUACUGAAUUUUACACUUUUCUUUUCAGUAUUUAGAAAUGUCAUUUUUAUUUCGCAGACCAAAGCGUCAGCAAAAACAACACCGCGGUAAUGUAUUCUACGUUUUCACUACUAAAGUAGUUUAUAAAAUGUAAUAUGUCUACUCAAGCAGAAAUCAGUGACUCUACUUUAGCACAGUGAGGAAAAGAUCUCGGCGGCAGACCAGAAAACUCUGUGUUUAAUAGAAAACCUGUAUUUAGAGCUUAACUCUGGAAAAUGUUCUUCAAAUAAAACAAGCACUGCAAUCUUACAAUUUCAAAUAUUAAUUUCCAUGAAUAAGCAGAGCAAACAGAAAGAGGUUUGAAGCGCGCACUGUGUCUAUAGAUAUUUAACACACUGCCAUUGAAACACAGGCAGGACUGUAAGGACUACGCAUUAUGGAAACAAACACAAUACCUCUUUCGUAUAGUAAUAGAACAGGCCAUGCCGUUACAGGGAAUUAAUCCCGUACGAAAUGAAAGCUCUGUGUUAUUUAUCCUUCACUACAGCGAAAACAAUUUUUCCACUAAGGAUACGCCACACGUUUAAACAGUUUAUCGUUACAUGUAAUGCUACCUGAAAGCACUGACCCUGAGAAUCCUUCAACAAAUAUAAACAUCUAAAAGAAAACUUCAUAUCAAUGAUUAUAUGGUGUUUGUGAUUGUUGAAUAACACGUUUUUAGUUAUAUUAACUUAUCAUUAGUCUUAGAUUAUGUGACGCCUCUGCCAUACUAGUCCCUGUUACUAUAGAAACAGUAACAUAUACCAAGCAUGUUAAUACAAACAUAUUAUUCAUGUUAUAGCCAGAACUACAGUUAAAAGCCAUUCAUCCACACCUUCUGGUUCGAGAAUUUAACAGCAAUGUGGUAUAAAAGGAAGUAAAGCCAGUUAUUAAAUCAAUCAAUAAUUCAUCACUAGAUACUAUACAAAAACACAACAUAUUAUUGAACGGCAAUGCUGUGGCAAUUCAGCGGCAAUGUGCUGAAUAUAAACAGACAUCAAUUCAAUCAACGAAGAAGAAGUGAUUUGUCAGUAACCAAGUAAUCUUUCCAAAACGUAAACUCACUGAAAACAAAAGCCUCAAUUUCACUAAUCCACAUUCCUUCAAGCCACGACUCAACCCUCCAUCACUCAAGACACAAGGAAGGUGUGCAGCAAGACAUCCCUGUACUGGCACCAAGCUGGUAGAGUAAAUGACCCCUGGCCAGAGUGCCCUCACUGACCUGCCUCUUCACCAAAUACUUCAACAACACAUUAAACAAAACACCCUCCUCUCUCGGUUUCUCGAUGCAGACUACAAGGUCACUCUGCACAAAGGGCGUCUAUUAAAUGCUUUAAAUGUACAUUUGACUUAGCAGGUUGGAUUACAAAAUGCUGAGUUUGUGUUAUAAGAAUAAGCAAAUAAGUAAGCAGGUCUUUCAUUCCUUGCAAGGUACACAUUUUUGCUUUUCCAAUGUACACCUUGAAGAUACUGAGUUCAAAAUAUUUUGAAAAAAA
ensembl:lncRNA